rnacentral:rRNA from 1 species
UACAGAGGGUGCGAGCGUUAAUCGGAAUUACUGGGCGUAAAGCGUGCGUAGACGGUCAUGUAAGUCGGGUGUGAAAGCCCCGGGCUCAACCUGGGAAUUGCAUUCGAGACUGCAUGGCUAGGAUGCGGAAGAGGGAAGCGGAAUUCCGGGUGUAGCGGUGAAAUGCGUAGAUAUCCGGAGGAACACCGGUGGCGAAGGCGGCUUCCUGGACCGACACUGACGCUGAGGCGCGAAAGCUAGGGGAGCAAACGGG